UGUAAAAUAAGCUAAACACUAAGCUGUUGGGUUCAUACCCCAGAAAUGAAUGACUAUUCUUUUACAA
rnacentral:tRNA from 1 species